UACGAAGGGGCUAGCGUUGCUCGGAAUCACUGGGCGUAAAGGGUGCGUAGGCGGGUCUUUAAGUCAGGGGUGAAAUCCUGGAAGCUCAACUCCAGAACUGCCUUUGAUACUGAAGAUCUUGAGUUCGGGAGAGGUGAGUGGAACUGGCGAGUGUAGAGGUGAAAUUCGUAGAUAUUCGCAAGAACACCAGUGGCGAAGGCGGCUCACUGGCCCGGUACUGACGCUGAGGUGCGAAAGCGUGGGGAGCAAACAGG
rnacentral:rRNA from 1 species